ACUUGUGUAGUUUACUUAAAAUGGUACAUUUUCGUUGUAUAGAUGACCUUGGUCCAUGGGUGUU
rnacentral:tRNA from 1 species